GAUGAACGCUAGCUACAGGCUUAACACAUGCAAGUCGAGGGGCAGCACGGAGAUAGCUUGCUAUCUUAGGUGGCGACCGGCGCACGGGUGAGUAACGCGUAUCCAACCUGCCCAUUACUCUGGGAUAGCCUUGCGAAAGUAAGAUUAAUACCGGAUGUUGUUAAAAACCCGCAUGAGUUUUUAACCAAAGAUUUACUGGUAAUGGAUGGGGAUGGUUGACAUUAGGUAGUUGGUGAGGUAACGGCUCACCAAGCCUACGAUGUCUAGGGGUUCUGAGAGGAAGGUCCCCCACACUGGAACUGAGACACGGUCCAGACUCCUACGGGAGGCAGCAGUGAGGAAUAUUGGUCAAUGGACGAGAGUCUGAACCAGCCAAGUAGCGUGCAGGACGACGGCCCUCUGGGUUGUAAACUGCUUUUAGUUGGGAAUAAAAAGAGGGACGUGUCCCUAAUUGUAUGUACCAUCAGAAAAAGGACCGGCUAAUUCCGUGCCAGCAGCCGCCGCGGUAA
rnacentral:rRNA from 1 species